GCACAAGCGCCGCCAUAAAAUAGUCCGUCCGAGAAAGGAAACGUUCUAUCAAUAUGUUGAUAGGUUAGACUGUUUUGCUUUUUCUUGACUAUUUUAUUUUGUUAUGUGUAAUUUUUGACUAUAUAAGCUUUUCGUAAGUCUUUCAUUUGGAGUGUAGCGGCAUUCCAGAUGUUUACGCGCACCAAUACAGGAGAAAUCAUUUGGUUCUGUGUGGAAUUCAGUCAGUACAGGGCGGCCAUUUUUGAGAUCAACCCGGAGGUGUACAGCAUGUCACGUGUGUGGUGGUCUCUGAAGUAUGGCAAAUCAGCUCAAUAUCCAGAGGAGGAUGCUGUCACAAAUGAACAUCUUGAGGAGAUCAAAAGCAGCGGCUGUAAAUUCUCUUCUGUACACCCAGAGACAAACAUAGCACAGAGCAGAACUAUUGGUAAUGGCAAUAUAUCCAGCUUACUCAGGCCAGGGUUUGAUAGCCAGGUCUGUUAUUACAGCUGUCCAGCCUCUUGGAAACCCAGACUUCGGGGACUGUGCCUCUGGUACAGUGGGGGCUGGUUUAGCUUAGUUAGAUUGGUUUGCUGGGUGUCAAUGCCACAAAUAAUGUCUCAUUCCUUCUGCUCUUGUUCUAACUCGCACAAAACAAAAACUAUAAGAACAAUUUUGGAAAAAAAAAAAAAACACAUAAAUGAAUGAAAAUUGUACUGAUAAUGGGGGCUGGUGAUAGUUUUGUUAGGUUUGACUCCUACCUGGCUGGAAUUACUCUUAUAUACUCUACUCUUUUAUUUGAGGCAGUGGAUUAGCAGCCGUUGCAGGCGUGAAUUGGUUAAGCAUAU